rnacentral:miRNA from 1 species
CCGCCAAUGACAAACUGUUGAU